rnacentral:rRNA from 1 species
AUUGGAACGCUGGCGGCAGGCCUAACACAUGCAAGUCGAGCGGAUGAACGGGAGCUUGCUCCCUGAUUCAGCGGCGGACGGGUGAGUAAUGCCUAGGAAUCUGCCUGGUAGUGGGGGACAACGUUCCGAAAGGAGCGCUAAUACCGCAUACGUCCUACGGGAGAAAGUGRGGGAUCUCGGACCUCACGCUAUCAGAUGAGCCUAGGUCGGAUUAGCUAGUAGGUGGGGUAAUGGCUCACCUAGGCGACGAUCCGUUACUGUUCUGAGAGGAUGAUCAGUCACACUGGAACUGAGACACGGUCCAAGAUCCUACGGGAGGCAGCAGKGGGGAAUAUUGGACAAUGGGCGAAAGCCUGAUCCAGCCAUGCCGCGUCACACAAGAAGGUCUUCGGAUUGUAAAGCACUUUAAGUUGCGAAGAAGGGCAGUAAGUUAUWCCUUGCUGUUUGACGUUACCAC